GGUGCCUUGGCUUAAUUGGUUACAGCACCCAUCUACUAAACAGAAGGUUCUGGGUUUGAAUCCCACUGGUGCCU
rnacentral:tRNA from 1 species